AGAGUCGAUCGGACAGUCGCUGUUUCGUUACUUUGGUAACGAGAGGGAGGAAAGUCCGGGCUCCAUAGGGCAAAGUGCCAGGUAACCCCUGGGAGGCGCGAGCCUACGGAAAGUGCCACAGAAAAUACCGCCUAAGCACGCAAGUGCCGGUAAGGGUGAAAAGGUGCGGUAAGAGCGCACCGCACGGCUGGUAACAGUCCGUGGCUAGGUAAACCCCACUUGGAGCAAGACCAAAUAGGAGUCCAUUGGCGUGGCCCGCGCUGGACUCGGGUAGGUUGCUUGAGGUCGCUAGUGAUGGCGAUCCUAGAGGAAUGACUGUUCACGACAAAACCCGGCUUAUAGAUCGACUCUCUCU
rnacentral:RNase_P_RNA from 1 species